GGGCCCUGGGCUCGGCUCCCACGCUCGGGCAGGCCUCCCGCCGGGGGAUCGGAGCUGCGGUCACUCGCGGCUUCGGGGCCGUGGCGUCCCGCGCACAGCUUCCGCGCCUCUGCAAGGCGCUCUGAAGAAAUGGAGGUGAACAGAGGAACAGCCACUCCCAGCAAGCAAGGGAAGAAGAAUCUUGAAAGCCUGUGACUUCACAGAGACUUCUUGAUUGAUGCCCCUGAAAUCAGCCUGCCAAGUGUGGCCUCUGCAGCAUAAAUACAAGGAGUCUGAUGACACAA
rnacentral:lncRNA from 1 species